AAAAAAAAAAACCCUCAGUUCAACACAACAACGAAAAAAAACCCUAUAUUUUCUGAAAAAACCUCUCAGCUCACUCUCUAGCUCUCGAUCCCUAAUCUCGCCGCCGUGUUCUGUGCCACGCAGCUCGAUCGACGCCGUCUUGCUCUGACCGAUAUCCUUUCCUCCCAAAUCUUGAAGGGAUCGUUGAGAAGUUAAGGUUUCCUCCUUUUGAGUUUUUGGGUCUGUUUAUAUACAUAUUUAAUUUUUUGUUAUUGUUGUUGUUAAUCUUAUUUUAGUAGAAGUAGCUAAGGCUUUGUUGUUGUUGUUGUUGUUCUCAGAAAUUAACUGUCACGCACUCUCUUCCUCUGUUCUGAUCAGUAGUCAGUACUAGUGCUUCUUUCUCUCUUUAAGGCAGCAAGGUUUCACAAUUUGGAAAAAAAUGAAGAUUUUUUCAGCUAAGGUUGAAGAGGGAAGGGAAGGCCUAGAUGAGAAGCCAGCAGUUGGUCCCGUGUAUUGUAAUUUACUCUCCAAGAAUGAGUUUCCUCCACCUGAUCCCAAUAUUAGUACAGCUUGGGAUGUUUUCAGGUAUUUCUGUUCAUAAAUUAUUUGUUUUCAGUCAGAACAAAAGCCAAGGAUGUGUUGCAUAUCGCACGUGAUUCAACUUCUGCUAUAUUUCUUAGUAAAUAUGUUAAAUUAUGUGAACCAGGCCAUAAAGGUGAAAACAACUUUUGCUAUAUUGCUUCUUCUUUUUUCCUCCUAAACCACGUUUGACGGCCAGGGUUAAUUUUGAAAUGUGUCUUAUUUUAUUUUUGUUUCAGUUUCUGGUCCAAAUGAAAGCAUCAUAUUAAGAUUUUAUUAAAAUUGAGCCAAUUUGAUUGACUCUCAUAUGUUGACCCUCUAGAAUCAUUGGCUUUCCUGCCUGGUUGUACAUUGCUUGCUAGUACACUUUGUCAUGGAUUUUCUAAUUCCUGAUUCAUUCUUGUAUUUUUCAGUAGCUAAUUUCUAUUCUCAAGUUUCAUUUUUGAAACAUUUCAUCGAUUUGAGGCUUUUUUUCUACAUAUAAUUUUUGGAAAUUUAAUUAAAAUACUUAAGGGUUGUGUUGAUUUUGUUUUUGUCCAGGAUAAAAAAGUGAAAGAAGUAAGAACUUUAAAAAAAUUUGCUUUGUGAUAACAUAAGCUCACAUUUCAAAAGCAAUGGAUGUUUUGAUUGGACAAA